rnacentral:tRNA from 1 species
GCCUGGGUGGUGGAAUUGGUAUACACGAGAGACUUAAAAUCUCUUGGAGGCAACUCCGUGCGGGUUCAAGUCCCGCCCCAGGCACCA